GCUCUCGUAGCUCAGCCUGGAUAGAGCAACUCCCUCCUAAGGCGUAGGUCGAAGGUUCAAAUCCUUCCGAGAGCG
rnacentral:tRNA from 1 species